UGCUGGGCUUAAAAGCCCCGCCUGCCGCUUCUCGUCUCAGUUUGAGAAGCCAAGGAAGGAAUCAAGGGAAAAUGUCGCCAUGAAGGCCGAGAACCGCUGCCGCCGCCGACCCCCGCCGGCCCUGAACGCCAUGAGCCUGGGUCCCCGCCGCGCCCGCUCCGCUCCGACCGCCGUCGCCGCCGAGGCCCCCGUUGAUGCCGCAGAGCUCCCCCAACGCUGCCGCCACCGCCUCCGACAUGGACAAAAACAGCGGCUCCAACAACUCUUCCGCCUCUUCGGGCAGCAGCAAGGGGCAACAGCCGCCCCGCUCCGCCUCGGCGGGGCCCGCCGGCGAGUCUAAACCCAAGAGCGAUGGAAAGAACUCAAAUGGAUCAAAGCGUUAUAAUCGCAAGCGUGAACCUUCCUACCCCAAAAAUGAAAAUUUUAGCAACCAGUCCCGUCGCUCCAAUGCACAGAAAAGCAAAACUUUUAAUAAGAUGCCUCCUCAAAGGGGUGGCGGCAGCAGCAAACUCUUUAGCUCUUCUUUUAAUGGUGGAAGACGAGAUGAGGUAGCAGAGGCUCAACGGGCAGAGUUUAGCCCUGCCCAGUUCUCUGGUCCUAAGAAGAUCAACCUGAACCACUUGUUGAAUUUCACUUUUGAACCACGUGGCCAAGCAGGUCACUUUGAAGGCAGUGGACAUGGCAGCUGGGGAAAAAGGAACAAGUGGGGACAUAAGCCUUUUAACAAGGAACUCUUUCUACAAGCCAACUGCCAAUUUGUGGUGUCCGAAGACCAAGACUACACAGCUCAUUUUGCUGAUCCUGAUACCUUAGUCAACUGGGACUUUGUGGAACAAGUGCGUAUCUGUAGCCAUGAAGUGCCAUCUUGCCCAAUAUGCCUCUAUCCACCUACUGCAGCCAAGAUAACCCGUUGUGGACACAUUUUCUGCUGGGCAUGCAUCCUGCAUUAUCUUUCAUUGAGUGAGAAGACCUGGAGUAAAUGUCCCAUCUGUUACAGUUCUGUGCAUAAGAAGGAUCUCAAGAGUGUUGUUGCCACAGAGUCACGCCAGUAUGUCGUCGGUGAUACCAUUACGAUGCAGCUGAUGAAGAGAGAGAAAGGAGUAUUGGUGGCCUUGCCCAAAUCCAAGUGGAUGAAUGUAGACCAUCCUAUUCAUCUGGGAGAUGAACAACACAGCCAGUACUCUAAGUUGCUGCUGGCCUCUAAGGAGCAGGUGCUGCAUCGUGUUGUUCUGGAAGAGAAAGUUGCCCUGGAGCGGCAACUGGCAGAGGAGAAGCACACUCCUGAGUCCUGCUUUAUUGAGGCAGCUAUCCAGGAGCUCAAGACACGGGAAGAGGCUCUAUCAGGAUUGGCUGAAAGCAGGAAAGAGGUCCCCGGUGUCGUAUCUGCUCUGGAACAACUGGUGCUGAUGGCUCCCUUGGCGAAAGAGCCUGUUUUUCGACCCAGGAAGGGUGUGCUAGAAUAUCUGUCUGCCUUUGAUGAAGAAACUGUGGAAGUUUGUUCUGUGGACUCUCCUCGCCCUCUUGCUCUCCCUCUAGUAGAGGAAGAGGAAGUAGUGUCUGAACCGGAGCCAGAGGGUUUGUCAGAGACCUGUGAUGACUCGGAGUUAGCAGAUGACAAUCUUGGUGAGGGGACCAUUUGUAUUGAGACCAGCCAGCAGGAACCUGUCACUAAACCUGGCUUCACACACCUGAGCAGCUCACCUUGUUACUACUUUUACCAAGCGGAGGACGGGCAGCACAUGUUCCUGCACCCCAUCAACGUGCGCUGCCUUGUGCGAGAGUAUGGCAGCCUGGAGCAGAGUCCAGAGAAGAUCUCAGCAACCGUGGUAGAGAUUGCUGGGUACUCCAUGUCUGAGGAUGUUCGACAGCGUCACAGGUAUCUCUCUCAUUUGCCACUCACCUGUGAGUUCAGCCUCUGUGAACUGGCUCUGCAGCCUCCUGUGGUCUCUAAGGAAACCCUAGAGAUGUUUUCAGAUGACAUUGAGAAGCGGAAGCGUCAGCGCCAGAAGAAGGCUCGGGAGGAACGCCGCCGAGAACGCAGGAUUGAGAUGGAGGAGAACAAGAAACAGGGCAAGUAUCCAGAAGUCCACAUUCCCCUGGAGAAUCUACAGCAGUUUCCUGCCUUCAAUUCAUAUACCUGCUCUUCUGAUUCUGCUUUGGGUCCUACCAGCACUGAGGGCCAUGGGUCCCUCUCCCUUUCUACUCUUAGCAGAAGUCCAGGUUCUCAUGCAGACUUUCUGCUGACCCCUCUGUCACCCACUGCCAGUCAGGGCAGUCCCUCAUUCUGCGUGGGGAGUCUGGAAGAAGACUCUCCCUUCCCUUCCUUUGCCCAGAUGCUGCGUGUUGGAAAAGCAAAAGCAGAUGUGUGGCCCAAAACUGCUCUAAAAAAAGGUGAGGCAGGCCUGCUAGUGAACGAUGAGAACAGCUUAGUUCCUCCUGCCCCUGUGGACAGUGAUGGGGAGAGUGAUAACUCUGAUCGUGUUCCUGUGCCCAGUUUCCAGAAUUCCUUCAGCCAGGCUAUUGAAGCAGCCUUUAUGAAACUGGACACACCAGCUACUUCAGAUCCCCUCUCUGGUAAAGGCAGAGAACUGGAGUGCUCAGCGUAGGGCUUUUAAACUUGCCACACAUGUACUAUCAUUGCCACCUGCAUCCAGUGGACACCUGGAUUGGUCAGGCUGUUUCCCCUCUGAGUCUCUAGGCCUCAGUCUUCAACAUAAACUUGAGUGUCAGAAGAGAAAGGCGGAAAGAAAAGGAAAAAACAGAAACAGAAGCUCCUGUUCAGCACUUCAGUCGUGCAUACCAAGUGACACUACUGGCCCAGGCUACCUUUUCAUUUGGAUUUCUUUUUUUCCAUGCUUUUGUUUUGCUGCUGUAAUUUUUAAGUAUUUUGAGUUUGAACAGAUUAGCUUGGGCGGGGGGAGGGGGUGUCCACAAUGUGAGGGGGAACCAAGCCAAUUUUAAAUACAGUGUAUUUUCCAGCUUCCCGUCUUUACACCAAAAUAAAGUAUUGACACUCAGAUCUUUUCCUGCCAAGAUUUUUAGUUUGUGACCAUUCGUGGUCUUUUAUACUGGUCUUUACAGAUAGUAUACUGGCAGUCAUUUAUAGUAAUUGUCUCAAUUCAAAGUAAGUUUGAGCCUCUUUAGCAUCCAUUGGAGCAGCCCAAACUAGCGGCUUAGCACUGCUCUACUAUGGCAGCCUGGUCUCUUAGUGCACCCAUCAGUUUGUUUCAAUAGCUGUGUCAGUUGGGCAGGGUGGUGCAUGCCUAUAAUCCUGGCACUGGUGUGGUAGGGGUGCUGAGGCAGGGGGAUUGCUACAAGUUGGAGGCCAGCCUGGGCUACAUAGACUCUGUCUCAAAAAAGACCAAAACCCCCAAAACUGCAGUCAUUCUUUCCUAUCCAUUUCUCUUACUAAGAAAUAGGAUCUGGAUCUGGGUGUGGUGAUACACACCCAUAAUCCCAACACUGGGAGGUUGAGACAGGAGGAGUGCAAAUUUGAGCAUAGCUGGGGCAGUUUAGUGACUUAGUGAAGGUCUGUCUCAAAAAAGACAGGAUGGGGGCUGGGGAUUUAGCUCAGCGGCAUAAGCGCCUGCCUUGCAAGCAGGCAGUCACGAGUUCGAUCCCCGGUACCGACAAAAAAAAAGACCAAAAAAAUUUAUUAAAAAAAAAGACAGGAUGUAGCUCAUUGUGAAGGUCUGGAUUCAAUCCCCACCACAUGUGAAAGGAGUUUUGCCUCUUGAACCUGGCUUUGGUAAGGGAAAUUUAUAACCAUCACUAACACCUGCUACCCUUUACUCAGAUGAAGCUUAAGUGAUAGUGGCCUGAGUUGUAGAAACAGGAUUCUAGCACACCUGGAGGUGUGCCUCUUUUUUGUCUGUAGCAGCUUUCUUAUGUCUUGGUUUCAGCUGAGUUUGAGCGAUGUCAAUUCUUUUGCUGCUUAAUAAAUUGACCUCUAGGUGUAAUAGAAUGUAAAAGCACAGUUGCAAUAAAUUACAUGCAAAAAUAA